rnacentral:rRNA from 1 species
AGAGUUUGAUCCUGGCUCAGGAUGAACGCUAGCUACAGGCUUAACACAUGCAAGUCGAGGGGCAGCGCGGCGGAAGCUUGCUUCCGCUGGCGGCGACCGGCGCACGGGUGCGUAACGCGUAUCCAACUUGCCCUUGUCCCGGGGAUAGCCUCGCGAAAGCGAGAAUAAUACCCGGUGUAGCCACGGUUUCGCAUGGAAUUGUGGCGAUAGGUCCGCCGGACAAGGAUAGGGAUGCGUCCCAUUAGGCAGUAGGCGGGGUAACGGCCCACCUAACCGACGAUGGGUAGGGGUUCUGAGAGGAAGGUCCCCCACAUUGGAACUGAGACACGGUCCAAACUCCUACGGGAGGCAGCAGUGAGGAAUAUUGGUCAAUGGGCGCGAGCCUGAACCAGCCAAGUAGCGUGCAGGAAGACGGCCCUAUGGGUUGUAAACUGCUUUUGCAGGAGGAUAAUAUGUCCCACGUGUGGGAUAUUGCAGGUAUCCUGCGAAUAAGGACCGGCUAAUUCCGUGCCAGCAGCCGCGGUAAUACGGAAGGUCCGGGCGUUAUCCGGAUUUAUUGGGUUUAAAGGGAGCGUAGGCGGGAGAUCAAGUCAGUUGUGAAAAGCAGCCGCUCAACGGUUGUCGUGCAGUUGAUACUGGUUUUCUUGAGUGCGCGCGAGGAUGGUGGAAUUUGUGGUGUAGCGGUGAAAUGCUUAGAUAUCACAAAGAACUCCGAUUGCGAAGGCAGCUGUCCGGAGCGCAACUGACGCUGAGGCUCGAAGGUGCGGGUAUCAAACAGGAUUAGAUACCCUGGUAGUCCGCACGGUAAACGAUGGAUGCUAGUGGUCGGCGACAGACUGUCGGUCACCGAGCGAAAGCGUUAAGCAUCCCACCUGGGGAGUACGCCGGCAACGGUGAAACUCAAAGGAAUUGACGGGGGCCCG